rnacentral:rRNA from 1 species
UGCAUAUCAAUAAGCGGAGGAAAAGAAACCAACAGGGAUUGCCCUAGUAACGGCGAGUGAAGCGGCAACAGCUCAAAUUUGAAAUCUGGCGCAAGCCCGAGUUGUAAUUUGUAGAGGAUGCUUCUGGGCAGCGGCCGGUCUAAGUUCCUUGGAACAGGACGUCAUAGAGGGUGAGAAUCCCGUAUGCGACCGGCUUGCACCCGUCACGUAGCUCCUUCGACGAGUCGAGUUGUUUGGGAAUGCAGCUCUAAAUGGGAGGUAAAUUUCUUCUAAGGCUAAAUACCGGCCAGAGACCGAUAGCGCACAAGUAGAGUGAUCGAAAGAUGAAAAGCACUUUGGAAAGAGAGUUAAAAAGCACGUGAAAUUGUUGAAAGGGAAGCUCACGCAACCAGACUUGUCGGCGGUGUUCCGCCGGUCUUCUGACCGGUCUAUUCGCCGCCGGCAGGCCAGCAUCACUUGGGAGCGCCGGAUAAAGGCGUGCGGAAUGUAGCCCCUCGGGGCAUUAUAGCCGCGCGCACAAUACGGCGCCUCCCGAGUGAGGUCCGCGCUUCGGCUAGGAUGCUGGCGUAAUGGUUGCUUGAGGCCCGUCUUGAAACACGGACCA